CUUGAUAUUCAUAACACGUACUUUCUUCAGGAUGAAGUUGAUCCUAUAUAUGGUCAGUGAUGAAGGUCGAGAAAGCUCCGUUGGAGUCAUACGCUGACAUCGGCGGAUGGGAUGCCCAGAUACAGGAAAUUAAAGAAGCUGUUGAGCUGCCACUGACUCAUCCCGAGCUAUAUGAAGACAUUGGUAUCAGGCCACCUAAGGGAGUCAUAUUGUAUGGAGUGCCAGAAACUGGCAAGAUCUCGCUUGCAAGGGCAGUGGCAAACUCUACAUUAGCAACUUUCUUGCGUGUUGUAUUUUCCCCAAAAUUUUCCAUUUCCCCCUCUCAUCUCAAUUCUCAAGUCGAGUUCACAUCUCAUGCAAAAACAGAAUUUGCAAACCCUUCCCCUUCAAAUUUCACACACACUGCGAAUCGGUGGGUCUCAACUCAAGUCUCAAGUCGAGUUCAAAGUCUCACAGACUCUGCAAAUCCUUCUCCUUCACACAGAAUCUGCAAUUCAGUCGGCCUCAACUCUCAUCUCAUACCCAGUUCCCCUUCAGUUCAUUGCCUGCAUAAUGCUAUUCUUUCCUCUCCACUUCAUUCCAGGUAAAAUGAUUCAAACAAACCCAUUUUUGCCUCUCUCAGAUCCGCCGAUGGAUGUUAUCUGUCAGUUGGACAACCACCGCAUCAGAUCGACAACCAUUGCAUCAGCUGACAACCACCGCAUCACGGAGUCCUCUCGGAUCUUGGCUUUUCCUUUGUUAUUUUUCUAUGAUUUUUGGGUAAUUUUUUUUAACAACUUGUGUGAGUGUGAGUGUGUGUCUUGUUUUUUUUUGUUUUGUAUUUGAUCCCUCAAGAAGCUGAACGUCUCCUCAGGGAACCUGGUAAGUGAUUCACCUUUUUCCCACUAAUUAUUUCGAGCUUGAAUUUGAGAUUGUGCAUAAUUAGUCUACAAGUUUGUGUUAUAAAGAAAAUCAAAGGAAAUGUGAGUUUGAUAGUUGUUUUUAAGACUUGACCAAUUGAUGACACAUGAAACUGAGAUGAAAUUAAGAACUAAGGUCAUCUCUAACUGAAGGGUCCAGAGGGUCAGAGGGCCGAAAAUAGCCUGAAAACCGUCUCCAACUGAGGGCUAUGCCAGAGGGAUGUGGAAUCUGAGAAGGCUCUACGAAAUCGGAGAGGGCUAGAGGGCUGGAGGGCUGGUCAGAAAAUAUAGCAUUCCUAUCGGUUAUAACCUACAGGAUUGCUUAAAAAAAAAUUUUGAAUACAACGGCUAGUCAGUUAGCCGUUGUAUUCAAUUUUUCUUUUUUUUUUUUUGGUUUUUUGGGCCAUUUUUUUUUUUAAUUCUUAAAAAUUCUAA